AAAAAGAGAAUUUUCUAGGAAAAGUAGCAAGCUGAAGCACCAAAGCCCAGCCCACGUUUGGAACAAAAGAAAUGACUGUCACGAUCGCCACGAGAACAUGCCGAGCGUCACAUCCCAAAACCUAGUGUUACGACCGUAACACAUAGUGUGACGGACGUCACACAUUUCAUCCUAUAUUUUAGGCUUUACGUGCGUAACAGAGUGAACGUUUUCCCCUAAUUUUU
rnacentral:lncRNA from 1 species